CUGACUUGUUUGAUCAAAUGGAUGGUUUAUUCUCAAGUGGCUCAGAAAUGACUCGGUUUAUCUUAUUCAGUCUUCUCGGGAUACUCCUUGGACUUGUCAUCAUCGGGAUAUUUUGGGAGGGCUUGAAUUCCUGUAAUCCGGCUAUUCUAAAAAGAAAAAAUAAACACAAGAAUGACCAAGGAAGCGAGAAAGAUCAUCCAGGCCACUUCAACAGGAAGAGAUUCGUGGUC